rnacentral:rRNA from 1 species
UACGUAGGGUGCGAGCGUUGUCCGGAAUUAUUGGGCGUAAAGAGCUCGUAGGCGGUGUGUCGCGUCGGCCGUGAAAACCUGGGGCUUAACUCUGGGCGUGCGGUCGAUACGGGCAUCACUAGAGUUCGGCAGGGGAGACUGGAAUUCCUGGUGUAGCGGUGAAAUGCGCAGAUAUCAGGAGGAACACCGGUGGCGAAGGCGGGUCUCUGGGCAGCAACUGACGCUGAGGAGCGAAAGCGUGGGGAGCGAACAGG